UUUCCGUAGGUGAACCUGCGGAAGGAUCAUUAAAGUUAUAGUCCCCCGGCCCUCUGGGCUGGGGUCUUCUAUACCACCCUUUGUUUAUUACACCUUUGUUGCUUUGGCAGGCCUGCCCUCGGGCUGCUGGCUCCGGCCGGCUCGCGUCUACCAGAGGACCUAAACUCUGUUUGUAUAUGAAGUCUGAGUACUAUAUAAUAGUUAAAACUUUCAACAACGGAUCUCUUGGUUCUG
rnacentral:misc_RNA from 1 species